CAUUUUUCCCACAAGCGCUGAAAAAUACUGGCUGUAGGUAAACUGGUUGGAGAACUGUGACCAAGUGACGUUAGAAGCUUCAUCUGAAUCUAAGUCAAAAUCCUGGCAUCAGCGGUAACCAAACCAAGAGACAUCGGGUAGGUGUUCAUCUGCUCUACAACACGACCACAGCCUUCACGGGGCUGCUUCGAACUUCGUAUCUAAAAGUAGAGGCUUGUGAGACGCUAGGCUGAUAAGAGGAACAAGAUUGGCUGUAGGCAACAACAAGUCUGGUUUAGCUGUCCUCGUGUUCCCUCACGUGUAACCUUUGAUGUACACUGUCGUGGAGAUUAUGUGAAGUAACUUAACAUGCCAGACCAUGUUGUAUAAAUAUUAAACAUCAAGACACUGCCUUGUAGAGAGUGACAUCAAUUGCUGGAAAGUUAAAAUACAGUCUACAAAAACAUCAGAGAUAUCUUUUCAAGUGAUAUAACUGUCAGCAGACUAUAUUGUGAUGUGAAAAUGUUUCAAAUCUACGUAUACAAACAUAAAUAGACAUUGUCAACUUUUGGAACUUCAGUAGAGGGAUUCAGCACAGAUCUGUUUAUUUGUGACUAUGGAUGACUAUAA